CUGGAUUAGACAACCUCCAAAGGUCCUUCUCAGCCCGAGUGGCCAUGCUCCCAGGCUGUCCUUCCACAGCCACACAGCCCAUCAAGGCAUUCUGCUCAACGAAGACUUUUCCUUCCUCUGAAAGAGACUUUCCUGCUAAACAACUUUUUUCCUUACUACAAUCUGAUUGCAGUAAGCAAGGAUGGCAUAACAUAACCAUCCAAAUAAGUUGAAAACUUUUGCCCACACAAAAACCUGCACACUGAUUCAUAUUUGCCAACACUUGGAAGCAACCAAGAUGUCCUUCAACAGAUGAAUAGAUAAACAAAACGUGGCACAUCCAGACAAUGGAAUAUGAUACAGCAGGAAAAAGAAAUGAGCUCCGGACAUUCUGGAAAGGUAAAACUACAGAGAUCAUAAAAAGAUCAUCUCUUUGAAGUCUGGGUAUUUGGUAAAAACAAAUCAGUGGUUAACAGGGGCUUGGAUGGGGGAGGGAGGGAUGAAUAGGUGGUGCACAGAGGAUUUUUAGGGUAGUGAAAUGAUUCUGUUUGAGAGUGGAAUGGUGGAUACAUGGCAUUAUGCAUUUGUCAAGAUCCAUGGGACUGUAUAUCACAGAGCGAAUCCUAAUGUGAACUAUGGACUUUAGUUAAUAAAAGUGUUCCUGUAUUGGUGCGUCCGUUUUAGCAGGUACACCCCACUGAUGCCACAUGUUCCUAGUGCUGAGAAGAGACCCUGCUCAGGGUAUGCUCU
rnacentral:lncRNA from 1 species